AGAAUCUUUGGAAAAACAUCUGUGGAAACUAUGCUCCCCCACCCCCAAAUGCAAAUAUAUCCAUACAAUUUUGUACCCAGAAACUCCUCUAGGGGGAU